ensembl:lncRNA
CAAAACUCGGGCCCUUAUCUUGCGGCACAAAAGCCUGGCAGCCCCGCAAAACUCAUUAUCCCCACUCGGACCCUGGCCGCGGAGAGCAAAGGAAACAUUUCCUCUUCAAAAUAACACCACCGUGCGAGGCUUCUACGCUGAAUGGACGCCUGCGGGAGGUGCCGUGAAUCCUCCUACCUGCUGCUCUGGGGAAUCGUUUCAAGCAGAGCGGAGCUGCUACUGCGGCCAGCGGUGGCUCAGGACACAUGAUGGUGGUCUGACCCCAACUAGCACAGUCACUAUUGAUUACAAUAGUAAUUGAGUAAUCUAGGAAUUUUUUUUUUUUUUAUUAAUCAAGUAUUUUUAUCUUCACUAAUCAUUUUUACUAGCAUUCCACCAGACUUUAGUUUUGUUUUGCACCAAUUACAAAUUUUG